GUGGAGAGAGGCCCCUUGUUCUCUUACCUCACAGUGGAGAGUGUGUUAGUCACUGCUGCAUCCCUGUGUGUGUGGAGAGAGGCCCCUUGUGAGUGGUUCACUUUCUGACAGAGUGUGUCAGAAUUGGGAUUUGGGGUGGUUUGGUGCUUGUAGAACAGAAGCAGAAGCUGAUCUGCAGCAUAGACCAGACAGAACUGAGAUACUCCUGCUGACAGCGCCAACCCCCACACUCGGGCUUCAGAAGAUGUCAGUCCCAACCUACUCAGGAAUUUGCAGGCUGGCCUUGAACUCCUGAUCCUCCUGCCUCCACCUUCAAAUGCUAGGAUUUCAGGGAGAAUGCUACACGUUGCUGGUGAUUGAGAGAGUCUGGCCUUCCUCUUCGACUCCGGAGGCCAUCUGUGGCCACUGCUCCAGCCCCUGCACUCUGGUGGUGUGUCUCCUGUCUGCAGGUUCCUAGAGCAAUGAAAUUACAGGUUUAUCUGCCACAUCUCCAGCCAACUCUCACUCAUCAUCCACAGAAAGGGGAAUGGUAUCCUAAAGCCCGAAAGAUUUUCCUGAGGACAUGGAACUGCCACUGACCAGGAAACUGGUUUUGUUACUAGCUCACUGUAUGGCUUAAGACAGAUUACUUUCUAUCCCUGGAAAAUGGUGUCUGUAAGCAGACACCUCCCCCCAUGCAUGUAGAACAUUUAUUUCAACUUAAUAUCGGGGUGAGUUCCAGAGACUCUCUGGAAGACUCAUACCCUGAGAAAAUCUCA